rnacentral:rRNA from 1 species
CUACGGGUGGCUCCAGUGAGGAAUAUUGCACAAUGGGGGGAACCCUGAUGCAGCAACGCCGCGUGGAGGAUGACGCAUUUCGGUGUGUAAACUCCUUUUAUAUGUCAAGAAAAUGACGGUAACAUAUGAAUAAGCACCGGCUAACUCCGUGCCAGCAGCCGCGGUAAUACGGAGGGUGCAAGUGUUACUCGGAAUCACUGGGCGUAAAGGACGCGUAGGCGGGUUGGAAAGUCAGGUGUGAAAUUCUACAGCUUAACUGUAGAACUGCACUUGAAACUUCUAAUCUAGAGUAUGGGAGGGGGAGAUGGAAUUAGUGGUGUAGGGGUAAAAUCCGUAGAUAUCACUAGGAAUACCUAAAGCGAAGGCGAUCUCCUGGAACAUUACUGACGCUAAGGCGUGAAAGCGUGGGGAGCAAACAGGAUUAGAUACCCCGGUAGUC